UGUGUUAACAGGAAAGAAGGCUUUGGGCU
rnacentral:piRNA from 1 species